rnacentral:rRNA from 1 species
CAGUAGCGCGGGAAUACGAAGGGGGCUAGCGUUGCUCGGAAUGACUGGGCGUAAAGGGCGCGUAGGCGGCGAUCAAAGUCAGGCGUGAAAUUCCUGGGCUCAACCUGGGGGCUGCGUUUGAUACUUGAUUGCUAGAGUGGGGAAGAGGGUCGUGGAAUUCCCAGUGUAGAGGUGAAAUUCGUAGAUAUUGGGAAAAACACCGGUGGCGAAGGCGGCGACCUGGUCCUUUACUGACGCUGAGGCGCGAAAGCGUGGGGAGCAAACAGGAUUAGAUACCCCCGUAGUCCCUGUCUCUUAUACC